UCAGGACGAACGCUGGCGGCGUGCUUAACACAUGCAAGUCGAACGGAAAGGUCUCUUCGGAGAUACUCGAGUGGCGAACGGGUGAGUAACACGUGGGCGAUCUGCCCUGCACUUCGGGAUAAGCCUGGGAAACUGGGUCUAAUACCGGAUAGGACCACGGGAUUCAUGUCCUGUGGUGGAAAGCUUUUGCGGUGUGGGAUGGGCCCGCGGCCUAUCAGCUUGUUGGUGGGGUAACGGCCUACCAAGGCGACGACGGGUAGCCGGCCUGAGAGGGUGUCCGGCCACACUGGGACUGAGAUACGGCCCAGACUCCUACGGGAGGCAGCAGUGGGGAAUAUUGCACAAUGGGCGCAAGCCUGAUGCAGCGACGCCGCGUGGGGGAUGACGGCCUUCGGGUUGUAAACCUCUUUCACCAUCGACGAAGGUUCGGGUUUUCUCGGAUUGACGGUAGGUGGAGAAGAAGCACCGGCCAACUACGUGCCAGCAGCCGCGGUA
rnacentral:rRNA from 1 species